UACGUAGGGGGCAAGCGUUGUCCGGAAUUAUUGGGCGUAAAGAGCGCGUAGGCGGUCCGAUAAGUCGGCUGUGAAAGUCAGGGGCUCAACCCUUGAAAGCCGGCCGAUACUGUCGGACUAGAGUCCGGAAGAGGCGAGUGGAAUUCCCGGUGUAGCGGUGAAAUGCGCAGAUAUCAGGAGGAACACCGGUGGCGAAGGCGGGUCUCUGGGCCGUAACUGACGCUGAGGAGCGAAAGCGUGGGGAGCGAACAGG
rnacentral:rRNA from 1 species